rnacentral:rRNA from 1 species
CAGUCGCCACGGUAAUACGAAGGGUGCAAGCGUUAAUCGGAAUUACUGGGCGUAAAGCGUGCGUAGGCGGUUUGUUAAGUCUGUUGUGAAAUCCCCGGGCUCAACCUGGGAAUGGCAAUGGAUACUGGCAAGCUAGAGUGUGUCAGAGGAUGGUGGAAUUCCCGGUGUAGCGGUGAAAUGCGUAGAGAUCGGGAGGAACAUCAGUGGCGAAGGCGGCCAUCUGGGACAACACUGACGCUGAGGCACGAAAGCGUGGGGAGCAAACAGGAUUAGAUACCCGAGUAGUCCCUGUCUCUUAUAC